AUGGGUCAAGUUGGACGGUCCA
rnacentral:siRNA from 1 species